rnacentral:rRNA from 1 species
CUCUCAGUUCGGAUUGGAGUCUGCAACCCGACUCCAUGAAGCUGGAUUCGCUAGUAAUCGCGCAUCAGCCACGGCGCGGUGAAUACGUUCCCGGGCCUUGUACACACCGCCCGUCAAGCCAUGAAAGCCGGGGGUACCUGAAGUGCGUAACCGCAAGGAGCGCCCUAGGGUAAAACUGGUGAUUGGGGCUAAGUCGUAACAAGGUAGC